UAUAGCAGGUCUAUUGAUACAUCUUGCCUCAUAUCAUAUUUUUGAGGAUUUUUUCAUGUAUCAACAAAUAUAUGGGUGAGGUAGUUAGAAUAUGGUAGAUUGCGUUUAAUUUUUGUUAUAGUGUCGUACACCGAUUUGAUUUGAUUUGGUAGAUUCCAGUUCGGUUUUUGUUCAAUUUAAUUUUCGCGUCUGGAUCAUACUGAAUCCGAAUCUGAAUCUGUUACAGUAUUCUCAAUCGUUUCUAGAUGACGGCUGGUGCUGAAAUUGUUUGCAGUGAGGUGGUUCGUAAGGUGGAGACUAUGGAGAAGUGUGGUUCUGGUGUGAAUGAAGUCGUGGUGAUGCUACUGUUGAUUAUAAUGUCGGUGAUAAUGGUAAUGGUAAUGGCAACGGCGAUUCCGACUAUGUGUUUGUGAACAUGAGUGUCGUGGUGAGUUUGGUGAUGCAGCUGGUGUUAAUGUUGAUGGUGAAGUUGAGCAGUUUAAGAAUGAAGGGGCGACUGUUGAUCCGUUGGUGUUGGAGACUAAUGGUGUUGUUCACAGGGCUAUGAGUAUAACAAUAAGUGUUAUGGAGGUAAGUGCGGUUAAAGACGAUGUAAAUGUCGAGAAUGGAUUCGUUGUUGAUCCUCAUGUGGUCCUGUGCUAGCUGGAGCAUCGUUGGACUGAAGGAAUGGAAUAAAAGAAUUUUAAUGGCAAAGAUUUGGUGUGGCUGCAUCUGUUUAUAUUGUUUGGCAGGAACGGAAUAACAAAAUUUUUAAUGGUAAACAAAAGUCUGCUCAGGUCCUUUGCCAACAGAUUCAGGAUAUUGUUCGGUAUAGAUUGUUGGGUCUCUCUUUUAAAUGGUCGCGCCAGGUUACUUUCGUUACUCCUGUUUGGAAUUUCAAGGUUUGUGAUGUGAAGUGAUUCUUGUGUAUUUGGUCAUUUGAUGGAGGUGCAAAUUAUAACUUUUAUUUCAGAGGUCCAGGGUUUGGGUAUGUCUGAUAGAGCUGCAAAUUAUAACUUUUAUUUCAUUUUGGGUGGAAGCCUUUAUUACAAAAGCCUUAGUGACAUAGUAGGUCAAGAUGGUCGAGGCAUAAAGUCUAAACUAUCUUGGAGACAAAAAGGAAGCUAUAAGCUGGAAAUAAGGUUUUUAAUGAAAAGAUUAAGAGGAUAUGAGGUAUUCAGAAGGAUAUAUGGUUAUAUAGUGUGGCUGAAGGAAGAUAGAAGGUUUACAAGAGAACCCAAGUUAUAAGAUGUGUAUGUACACCUAAAGGUCAUCGAGAUGCAGUUAAAGCAAGCAGCAACAAUUUAGCAUUCCUAAGUGUCUAAUAUGUGUUCCCACUUUAGCAUUCUUUUUCUUUAUCAAUCUUUAGUAAGUUGUUUAAAGAUAUAAAUGAUUACUAACUAGUAUACAAUUGACGAA